rnacentral:misc_RNA from 1 species
UACAUGUUUAAAUCAAAAUUGAUAGAAGGGUCGAUUUGUACUUCUAAAUACAAGAAAGAGGGACCAAAUCAUUCAUAUUAUGAAUGUAUUUAUAUAUAUACCAACAUUAUUAAUUCUGCUGAUUAAUCUCAUAUAUUAUAUAUAGAGAAAAGGUUUAAAAAACCCGAAUUAUUCAAAUACAGUACAUUUUAUAUAUAGAAUCUAUAUUUUUUUUACCAUUUAUAAAUGAUUUUAAACUGUAGAUUUUUCGCAUUUGUGAAGUUUACCAUUGUUUUGUAUUUCCACUCAGUAUUUAGAAACAUAUGUUUCAUUUUCCUUUACCAUGUUUUUGUGUCUUUACUGGUUUGUUUAAAUAUGUGCUUAAUGAACUGCACUCAUAAACAUUAAAAUUGUUUUCAUU